UGGCGUCAGGAUGAACGGCUAGCGACAGGCUUAACACAUGCAAGUCGAGGGGCAGCAUAAAAGUAGCAAUACUUGGUGGCGACCGGCGCACGGGUGAGUAACGCGUAUGCAACCUACCUAUCAGAGGGGAAUAACCCGGCGAAAGUCGGACUAAUACCGCAUAAAACAGGGACACCGCAUGGUGAUAUUUGUUAAAGAAAUUCGCUGAUAGAUGGGCGUGCGUUCCAUUAGGUAGUUGGUGAGGUAACGGCUCACCAAGCCGACGAUGGAUAGGGGAACUGAGAGGUUGGUCCCCCACACUGGUACUGAGACACGGACCAGACUCCUACGGGAGGCAGCAGUGAGGAAUAUUGGUCAAUGGGCGAGAGCCUGAACCAGCCAAGUCGCGUGAAGGAAGAAGGAUCUAUGGUUCGUAAACUUCUUUUGCAGGGGAAUAAAGUGCAGGACGUGUCCUGUUUUGUAUGUACCCUGAGAAUAAGGAUCGGCUAACUCCGUGCCAGCCGCCGC
rnacentral:rRNA from 1 species